rnacentral:rRNA from 1 species
GAUGAACGCUAGCGGCAGGCUUAACACAUGCAAGUCGAGGGGCAGCACAGGUAGCAAUACUGGGUGGCGACCGGCAAACGGGUGCGGAACACGUACGCAACUUACCCUAAACAGAUGAAUAGCCCUCGGAAACGGGGAUUAAUACAUCGUAAACUAUAAGAGUGGCAUCAUUUUUAUAGAAUAGCUGAGGCGGUUUGGGAUGGGCGUGCGUCCCAUUAGCUAGUUGGUAAGGUAACGGCUUACCAAGGCGACGAUGGGUAACUGGUGUGAGAGCACGACCAGUCACACGGGCACUGAGACACGGGCCCGACUCCUACGGGAGGCAGCAGUGAGGAAUAUUGGUCAAUGGACGCAAGUCUGAACCAGCCAUGCCGCGUAAAGGAUGAAGGCGUUCUGCGUUGUAAACUUCUUUUAUCAGGGAAGAAACCUCAGUAUUCUUAUUGAGCCGACGGUACCUGAUGAAUAAGCACCGGCUAACUCCGUGCCAGCCGCCGCCGUAAUAC